CCAUAGAGACUAUGUCAGCUCCCAAACAGACAAAAACAAACUAAAAGCCAGCAAUAAACAACUUAAACAUGUUAGGUGUUGGGUUUUAGUGAUGUGGUGUUUUUGUUUGUAUGUGUUUUUGGUGCCUCCCUUUUUGUAUAGGUAGGCGGGGCAGUGAGUCACUGAACCUGGCGCACCUGUUACUCAUCAGAUGCUCUCUUCAGAAGUGUUUUUAGGAGCUACCUGACAGAAGAUUAGUGUCGGAGUAUUGGCGUUUUUGGAGUUUGGAAAUUCUGCCCUGCCUGUUGGAGCCCUCGGAUUACUUUAGUGUCUGUAAGGAGUUUUUGUUUCCUCCCUAGGAUUUUGGCCUCGACUGUUUUGCCUAGCCUGGAGGUUUUGGGCUCCAAACUGUGCCAAAUCGAGUGCACUGCUUAUGUGUAUUUUCGUCACUAGCACGUCCUGGCUCCGCGUCCUCAUUCACACACGUUGUACAUAUGUUGUCCUUGUAAAUAUCUCCCCCCCUCACUGUAAAUAAACUGCCUUCACUGCAA